rnacentral:ncRNA from 2 species
UUUUAUCAAGGGAAUGAGGCACUCCCUAAAUUUCUGUAAAGAAUUUAAACCGCGAUUUUUCGCUGAUGGCUUCUAUGACGCU